rnacentral:pre_miRNA from 1 species
UGUCCCCCAGCCUGAGGUGCAGUGCUGCAUCUCUGGUCAGUUGGGAGUCUGAGAUGAAGCACUGUAGCUCGGGAAGGGAGGGGG